rnacentral:rRNA from 1 species
UACGAGGGGGGCGAGCGUUGUUCGGAAUUAUUGGGCGUAAAGGGUGUGUAGGCGGUUGUUUAAGUUUGGUGUGAAAUCUCCCGGCUCAACUGGGAGGGUGCGCCGAAUACUGAAUGACUAGAGUGCGGGAGAGGAAAGUGGAAUUCCUGGUGUAGCGGUGAAAUGCGUAGAUAUCAGGAGGAACACCGGUGGUGUAGACGGCUUUCUGGACCGUAACUGACGCUGAGACACGAAAGCGUGGGUAGCAAACAGG